AAGUUACAGAUUAACAGCAUCUUAGGGCAAAGCAAUUGUUCAGGGUACAGGUCAAAAUGGAGUUUCUUGUGUCUUUCUUUUCAACAUAGACACAGUAACAGUCUGAUCUCUCUUUCUUUUCCCUACACCAGCCCCGCCUCUUCUACAAGUCCUCCAGCUGCCAGCCACUGUAUUCUUGGCAACUUGAGUUCCUCACCCCUUAGCAGAUGUUUGGAGUAAAAUGAGAACUUCCAUCUGUUUUUUCAAAGAUUUUCUAUAAUAAGCAUGUGCUAAUUUUUUAGUCAGAAAGAUUAGUGUUCAGUAUUUACAUCCAUCCAUCCAUCCAUCAAUAUUUGGCCCUUGGUGCAGAAAAAUAUUGUGAUUUGUUGUUAACCCACAGACAUGAGAGAUUUAAGAUGCACCUCCUUGAGUGCUGGUGUCAAAUGGCUGUCACCCAGCCCAGUCUCAUUGGCUCUUAUGGACGCCGAUCCGCAAACCACCUGCAAACCCUCAGGCAGCUGCAGGGUCUAGCAGGCUUCCCUAUCCGUGUGUUAUUAUGGUUUGCCCUCCAGGUCAGCAUUUAUGGGGAGAUAGAUGGGCAAAGUCUAGACCCUGCUGUUUCCCUCAAACCAGUGCAGCCAAGGGGGCACACAGGAUGUCCCAGCUGCUUUACAACAGCUGCCAUCUUUAAACAGAAAAAGUCAGGUUUUUUCGAGUAGUAACCAGUUUUUACCUAAGGCCGGAAGGGAGGGGACCCAGUGCUGUAAACAAACCAGAGCCUCUUGUCUCCUUUGCUCUGGCCGACCCAGGCUUGCUGACUCUGUGCUGCUCACAAGUGCCAAGUUCAGAGGACUAGACUGCAUGGCAAGGCUCUUUGGGCCACUGAAGGCACCCUCCCUGAGGCCCUUCUCUGAGGCCUUGUACUUUGUCUCCAAGCGAGAACACCCUAAUGUCCUUCCCAAGAGGAAGGGUGUUUGCAGUAGACAUACUGCAAGCCCCCUCCCCACGCCCUGUCUGAUCUCAUGGUGUGUGUGCAUUGGAAGAUGAGUUGAUCCGGGAGGUCACCAUCAACUGUGCGGAGAGGGGGCUGCUGCUGCUGCGAGUCCGGGACGAGAUCCGCAUGACCAUCGCUGCCUACCAGACCCUGUACGAGAGCAGUGUGGCGUUUGGCAUGAGGAAGGCACUGCAGGCUGAGCAGGGGAAGUCAGACAUGGAGAGGAAAGUGAGUGGGGUUUACCGUGACCCUUGGCCCCCUGUCUCUUCUGUAAACCUCAGGGCCACGUGCUUGUCAUUCCAGCACUACAUUCUGACCUCCUAAGGUGCUCUCCUGACAGUCACGACACCUGGACCUGCAUCAUCCCAGUGAGGGACCCCUGGUUGAGUAUGUUGGCCAGCCUGGUGGUCUUGGCAGAGUUGUCUCCGCUGUGGACGCUCCAUGCCAGGCACUGACCUCCCACUGGGUGGCAGUAUAUACCCUGGCAAUGUCAUGUCCCAUGUCCCUUCCACCCAGGCUCACACCAUUCCAUUCACCUGGCGACAUCCCAGAAUGACUGGGCAUUCUCUCCUCAGAUUGCAGAAUUGGAGACGGAAAAGAGAGACCUGGAGAGGCAAGUGAACGAGCAGAAGGCAAAAUGUGAAGCCACUGAGAAGCGGGAGAGCGAGAGGCGGCAGGUGGAGGAGAAGAAGCACAAUGAGGAGAUUCAGUUCCUAAAGCGAACAAAUCAGCAGCUGAAGGCCCAACUGGAAGGCAUUAUUGCACCAAAGAAGUGAUAAUUUCCACAUGAUUAAUUUCCAACAAGACACUUGGGAGUUAUUUACUGUGUUCCUCUGGUAGCCAAUAAAAUCAUCAUAAGCCCUUUGUAAUAAAAAGCUAGUUUCCUGAGCGAACAAGCCAUAACCUCCCCUAAACACCACCUAGGUAUUUGUCAGAAGUCACACUAUUACUCCAGUGUCAUCAAACACCUAAGGUCUGCCAGCCAGGCUCCUGGCUGGGCAAUGGAAGAUGGUGUGGCCCUGUUAGUCUCAGUGUGUGGCUUACUAGCCAGCCUUGGGAACUGCCAACUCAAAUUCUAAGAAAGCCACUGCUUUCUCAUCAUCACUCUAUACCAAUACUUAUUUCUGGCCAAAUGAAUCUGCCUUUCUGCCCCUCAAACUUUUAGUCUACAAUUCAUCUUCUACCUUAACUUGGGCUUCUUGGGCCUCUGGCCUUCCUUACUUAAUGUCUUCUUUUCCCUACUCUAAUGCAUUUCUAACUCACUUUGGAGCUUUGGUUUUCUAAUGUAUUAUCCCCACUUGCCAGUCAACUGGACCCCUUCCUCCUCGGUUUCAGACUGCCUACGUUAGGAAACAAUGGCAGAGUCAAACCCAUGGCUUUGGAAAGUAAAUGUUUGCCAGAAAGGAAUACUAGUCACAGUGGCCUUUGUGAGUUGUCUGCAACUCAGCUCUUCCCCGAGCACAGAUCUGUUCCCCUUAUCCUGCAGAAAAUCAAGCCCUGACUCUGCACUCCCCUAAGUAGUGAUGUUAAUUAACAACUGAAGAGGUAACCAAAUCUCACAUGCAGGUCUAAUGGCUAAUGAUUGGAGUACGGCUGCUAGACAACUGCAUUUUAGUAUUUCUCUUCCACUCUCCUGGUUUUGUAGACCCAGAAGUUUGAAUAAGUGACAUAAAUCUUUAGUUCGGGGCAAGCCAGGGUGGGCUAGGGUGGUAAGCUGGAGGACUUCAUCCUCCAGUCAGGCUGCACAAGUAACAUUACCUGAAAGGCACUAACAUGCUCACGUUCCCCAGAAAGAGGUGUGAGAAGGGACUCUCCUUAGCAGAGCUUCCACCUGCCAUCCGUCUUGGGUUCAGUGAGCUUCAAGGCUCACAAUGGAAGCACUGUCAUUUCCGCAUGUUCUCCAUGCUGUGUUUCCCAUGCUGAACACACCAUACACAUUCUCAUCUGGAAUCUAAGGAGCAGCUUUUACCCUGAUCCAGUAUCCUGAGGAAUUUUAAGGCUCCACUCAAAUGACCUGCCUGUGUUGUCAUUUCCAUGGGAAAGAACUCUUUCCACGAGAUCUGCUAGUUCCAGGCCUCUAAAACAGGAAUGUAUGUGCCAUAAGUGGGUCCACUUCACAGACUCAAUGAGGCAGAAAUUACUGUAGUUUUCUCCUAUUUCUUCCGUGCCCAACCUUCUCCUUGUAUUUCAAAGCCCAGGCCAUGUACACUAACGUCCUUGAAAUUUGCAGUUCUGUAUGCUUCUAUUCCAAAUCAUUCAUUACCAAUAAAAAAGAAAUACCACCCUUUCCAUUUUAUAGACCUCAUCCCCUAUUUCUGUCAGAGAUUUAUAUGACAGGGUGACUGCGGAACCUCUUAGUUCAUCCACAGUCUACCUGAAGUGCUAGACUUUCAGACUCUUUAUCACUGAAAUCCUUAAGGUUGAGGAGGCUUUAUUUCCCUAGCACUGGUGAAGGGCUUCAGCUGUCAAACUUCAGAACAAAUGCAUUAUGGCCUUAGAAAUGCCAACGGGGCAGGAAGAAAACACAAUUUCUAACUGCAUGUUUUUGUAUAAUUUAAUAAAAACCUUUUAAACAUU
rnacentral:sRNA from 1 species